GGAUAAGGGGGUAUUCAACUAUAAUGCUUAGUUUUUGCUCAGUUUACAUGAAAAAAAAAUGUGGGAGUAGGUUCCUCUCUGUGGCAGUUGGUUCCUCUCUGUGGGAAACACAGAAGAAAGGAUGCAGAGAAAAAGAACAUCUCUAUGAUAGUCCUCCUUCCAGGGACUUCUCUGUCUCAGAAGAGCCCACUGGAGGCCGAGGCACACUGUCCUUGCACAUCUUCGAGGACCUUUGCAGCUUUCGUAAUUCUUUGAGCACAUAGCCAUCAAUUUGCCUAUAAAGGCUGAUGUUUGCCACUGCACCUGUGUAUUAGCUCUCUGACUCCCGGUGGCCACUUCAGGGAACUUGCACCUCGCACUGUGCUGCACAAGCACACCACAGCUGAGCUUCACAGCUGGAUCUUAAUGUUUUCCCUAGCUCACUAAGUACACUGUGACAGCAGAUACAAGGGUAACCCCAAGUAUCCUAGAUCUAAAGGACAAAAAAAGUCAGCUCUGUAAUGAGGCUUAAAGGAAGGCUAGUUAUAUCCUUGUUCCACAAAAUGUAGCAUAAACUCCACCACUCAUCUUUUUUGGCCUGAAGCUUUAUCUACAUGGCAAUGUGGUCCUAUCAUUAGUAAUAGCACUCCAGAGCAUCUUUUUUGAGUUAACAAAAUUGUUAGGCGUGCUAUUAAUACCACUCAUUGCACAGAUUGACAUGAGAAAGGAUUGUCAGUAUAAAUUUACUUUCUGUGUUAUUUUCACAGAAUCACAGGAUGGCCAAGGUGGGAAGGGACCUCUGAAGAUCACCUAGUCCAACCCCCCUGCUGAGCAGGAUCACCUAGAGCACAUUGGACAGGAUAGCAUCCGGGUGGGUUUUGGAUAUCUCUAGAGAAGGAGACCCCACAGCUUCUCUGGGCAGCCUGUCCCAGUGCUCUGUCACCCUCACAGUAAAGAAGUGCCACCUCAUAUUUAGCUGGAACUUCUUGUACUUCAGUUUGUGCCCAUUGCUGCUCAUCCUCUCACUGGGCACAACUGAAAAGAGACCGGCUCUAUUAAAGUGCUACUAAAGUAGAGCUACGGGCUCUACUAAAAGAGACUUCCUCCUCACUACUUUGGUCUGUGGCAAAUUUCUGUCCUGAGUUUUGUGCUUGGCACUACAUGGGUGCCCAGGAAGGAGUCCUGGGUGUCCUUAACCUGUCAGUUAUCUUUACCUGACCACAGCAUCUGCUAGAGAGCCAGGUUGGAAUACAGUGAGUUAAUUUGAAAUUUAAGAAAUUAAGAAAUUUAAGUUUCUGUAACUGAAAGGAGAAGAAAUCUACAGGGAAAAAAAAAAAAAAAAGCUGUGAUUGCUCUAUAUCCAUUCUGUCUACUUAAACUCUUAGGUACUUAUACUGGGCCUACUGCAGUGAUACUCUAAGUCAGGCUGCUCAGUCAGACUGUGCUCUUCACAUCCUUCUUUGCUUCACAUUUUCUUGUCUUUAACUAUGACCUUCCCAUGGAUGUGCUUGGAUGAUUUUUCCUUCUCAUUCCAGUUUGUCUUAUCCUUUCCUCUCACUACUUAUCUUUGAGGAGCAGAAACCAGCCUUGGCUUGCUACUGAGAAAAACAGAUACAAAGAAAUGCCUUCAACAUCUCCCUCUGAGGCCCUCAUGUCACAGCCAGCAGAGGAGUUUGUGCUAAAUUGCCAUAACAGAAUAUCUUCAGCUACGAGCUCCAUCCAGCCUCAGUAGGCAUUGAUAGGCAAAGACAUGCAAUAGAAGAAACCACUUAGGAAAUCUCUGCAGAAGUGAUGUUGGCAGGUGACUAGGAAGCCCUAAUCCCUUUGGAUCGGGACAAAACCACAUGCUAAAAGACUCGAUCUUUGGAUUAUGGAGAAAAUUAAGAUUCUUGCCAAGAUCCCUUGAUUGUUUCAGAAGAACUGGGUUAGUCAGAAAGGCUUCUUGUUACAGGUCACUUUUAGUCUUGAAGGUUAUCUUCUGAAAACAAGAGCAGCCUUUGCUAUCAGUUUGAUGUGUGCAAUUUUGUUGUGUGCAUCCUUUCCCAACCAAUUGAGUAGCUAUGCUCAGUAAUGUCAAACCCCCACUGGAUUUCAAACACACUAUAGUACAUCUACCUCCAGGUAUCUCAGUGAUAGAAAUGACGGUGCCUGCAAUUAUUGCAUUGUGAUUAAUUUAAAAUGCAUUUACUGAUUUUGCAGGACCUUCAGGGUUUGCAUGAAGUUUUUUAAAAUGAUUUAGGAUCCUUCAAAGAAGCCUACUACAAAAAGAAAAUGUUACUUAUACAAAACACUUCAUGAUGCCGUGGAAAGAAUAGCCCUAUUCAGACCAUUUAUAAUUGUGCACAAGUGGAUUUAUGAUUCAACAGUGAGCAAGUUAAACUGCCUGUUAGUCAGAUGUAAUAGCCAGUGCCAGCUGCACCAGAAGCUCUCUUCCUAUAUGUUUAAUAGGCAGGGGUAAGGGCUAUAUUUAGAUUCACAAGAAGCAUCCAGCAUUGCAAUAUGUAGUGAUAUCUUCAUGGAGUAGUGAAGCUACUUUCUCUAAUAUGGGGGGGUGGAGAGGAGGACAUUCCCCAAAUAAAAUAAAAGCAAUCUUUGCCAAUUUAAAACAUCUGUUUUGGAGGGGGUACUCCUGUGGGUCUCCUUUUAUUAUUUUUUUUUUUUUUAGCUUUUAAUUAGUCUGUUCUUAACUGCUCCGCAUGACAAAACAUCACUCUUUCCAACCCAGGGGGAAAAGACUGAGGUUCCUGUUUGACUAUCCCAGUGCUUUUCUGACAGCUGAAUGUACUGCUAACUUUGAAUUAUUUUUUUUUUAUUAUUAUUAUUUUUUCCUCCUUGGAGCUCUUCUGCUGUGAAGCCCUUCAAUGAUAUGCCAGGGACAUUGUUUUUCUUGGGCAACGGAGAUACUGCUUGCAACAGGCGAGGAUGAGUUGGUGGUGUUGCAGCCAAUAACAACCUGUGUGUAGUAGUAAUUCCACCUACUUUGGGGAUCUUUCUGUCAGAGGAUCUCACUCAUUGAUACUUACAAAAAGAUGACAUGAAGCUGAUCUCUGGAAGAGAAGUAAGGAAGAAGACUGAGCUGGUGUUAAACCCCAAGGAAAUCAAAAGGAGUUAAGUGGAAUGGACCUUGUCCCACUGAGCCUUGGUGUCUGCUCUCACAUUGCCAUGGAGGAUAAUGGAUGACAAUAAAACAUCAGCUUUCCUGACUUCUGGAAUUAACCUCUAAUACAUAUUAGCAGCAGCCUUUCAAGUAGUUUUUGCAUACACAGGCUUUCGGUAAUGUGACCACACAGGGGUGUGCUCUGACACCGCCUAGAGGUGAGCUCCUUGGUGUUAGGUGUGCAGUGCUAACGAGAUGUCACAAGCAGCUGCUCAUCACUUGGCAAACAUCUGCCGCUCAGGUAGCAGGUCUGUUGUCAUCCUAGGCAUGUGAGGGCUUGAAUCCCCAGCAUCUACAGGAGUGCAGUUUCAGGCACUUUCACUUUUUAUUAGAAGUCUCCUGAAACACAUCAUUUCAAAACAGAAGGACAUAUGACAAAACAGAAUUUGGAUCGAGGACAAUUUAAUCUAUGGCUCUGUCUACUACAGUUUACAUGACAAAACUAUAAUGAGGAAAGGCUUCUGUCUAGGACUGAAGUCUUGCCUACCUCUUAAUGUCUUCAGAGCUCUAUGGAGGAACAAAUGGAUCCCUCCAACGCAACCUGAGAGACCAAGAGAAUGGCAGAUUAUAAUCAACAGCAAAGAGCUGGAUUGAGUUGGGGCCAGCUGAGGAACAGCUGUCAUCUAAGAAGAGAAAACAGCAGUGCUGCACCUUUAACGUAGUUUUAAUACAUAUUCAAUGUACCUUCAAUUACUGCCUGAGUAAUCAGUGUGGAUGCAAAUCAAAUGUGGAACAACAGAAUGAUUUUCUGGGCUUCCUCAGGGGACUGGACUUUGGAAGUAGUAGCACUGUGUUGUGUUUCAUGCAACUUUGUAAAAAGAGGGAAGGAGAGAGCUGAGAAUAGUAGGCAGUGGAAGCCUUCCAAACAUGCUAUAUUGCUAGCUGUGCACGUAGGAGAAUCUACAUUAGCACUGCAACCUUCAACUGCUGUGAUUUGCCAAUCACAGUUUUGGAAGUGAUACUUCCUUGCUCUUUGUGCCCUGAGGGAAGUCUCUGUGCAUUACCCUGCUGCCUGCUUGAGUGAAUCCUUUAUAGCAGAAUAAACCUGACCAUGAGAAACAACGAAUAUUUUCAAGCCAAACACCCAUAAAGAGACUUGUGUUUGUAGCAAGAGUUUCACUCCAGAGAUCCCACAUUAUUCUUCUCAUACUUUUAUCCAGAAGCUACCCUGUUGUGACCACUCUUUUUCAGAGUACCCCAGAGACCUUCUUGUGAUUGCCAAACCACUCUCCUUCAUGUUUGAAAAGUUCUGGAGUCAGGUGAAGUUCCUGGUGACUGGAAAAAGGGAAACAUCACUCCCAUUUUUAAAAAGAUAGACAGGAGACCUGGGGAACUACAGACCAGUGAGCCUCACCUCUGUGCCUGGCAAGGUCAUGGAACAGAUCCUCCUGGAAGCAAUGUCAAGGCACGUGCAAGACAAGGAGGUGAUCUGAGACAGCCAGCAUGGUUUCACCAAGACAAAUAGUACCUGACCGAUCUGGUGGCCUCCUAUGUUGAAGUCACUGCAUCAGUCAACAAGGGAGGCCCAACCAAUAUCAUCUACCUGGACUUCUGUAAAGCCUUGGAGACAGUCCCACGUGACAUCCUUAUCUGUAGGGUGGACUGUUCGUUGCAUAAGGAAUUGACAGCAUGGUUGCAGCCAGAGAUUUGCAGUCAAAGAUUCUAUGUCCAGGUGGAAGCCAGUGAUAGGUGGCUUCCUCAUGUGAAUAUUGGAUAUGAGGAAUAUUGAAUAUGAGGAAUAUCCUGUGGAUAUUCCUCAGGGAUCCAUUCUGAUACCAGUGCCCGUGUGGGCCCAUGUGAGCCUAAUGAGGUUCAAGAAGUCUAAGUGUAAGGUGCUGCACAUGAGUCAAGGCAAUCCCAUGAGUACAGACUGGGAGAAGAGCUCAUGGAGAGCAGCCCUGCAGAGAAGGACUUGGGGAUUCUGGUGGACAAAAAAAGCUCUACAUGAGCCAGCAGUGUGCGACUGCAGCCCUGAAGGCCAACUGCACCCUAGGCUUCAUCAAGAGCAGGUUGAGGCAGGUGAUUGUCCCUCUCUGCUCUGCCCUUGUGAGGCCCCACCUGAAGUGCUGCAUCUAGGUCUGGGGUCCACAGCACAAGAAGGAUGUUGAUCUGUUAGAAUGGGUCCAGAGGAGGGCCACGAAGAUGAUCAAGGGUCUGGAGCACCUCUCCUACAAAGAAAGGCAGAGAGAGAGCUGGGGCUGUUCAGCCUAGAAAAGAGAAGUGUCUGGGGAGACCUCAUUGCAACCUUUCAGUACUUAAAGGGAGCUUAUAGAAAAGAUGGAUAGUGACUUUUUACACAGCCAGAGAGUGAUUGGAUGAGGGGGAAUGGUUUUAAACUAAAAGAGGGAAAAUUUAGGCUAGAAAUCGGAAGAAAUUUCUUUCUCAAAGGGUGGUGAGGUACUGGAACAAGUUGCCCAGAGGUUGUGGAUGCCCCAUCCCUGGAAGUAUUCAAGACCAGAUUGGAUGAAGCCAUGGGCAACCUGAUCUACUAGGUGGCAUUCCUGCCCAUGGCAGGGGGGUUGGAACUAGAUGGUCUUUAAGGUCCCUUCCAACCCAAGCCAUUCUUUGAUUCUAUGAUAACAUGCAGUGUGGAGCUUGCUGUCAGCCUCAGAGAAUUAAGCAGCAAUUACUCCAGCACCUUUCUGAUACACGGUCAACUCCUGUGAUGCCACCAUUACUCAGAGAAUCUGAAAUGUGCUAGUAGAGUUUUUAUGAAACUUAAAAUUAGGAAAAUGGUUUGAGUAUUACUUGGCUCAGGCAAACCAGGUGAAAGACUGAGGAUUGCUGGAUGAGGGAUGAUUUCUGUGGAAAUCAGAACAUGGAUGUCAAAGGUUCAGUUGUCUUUCUGUGUUUCAGAUUCCUGAACCCUGUGCUUCCCCUGCUCCUAUUAACAUAAGUGAGGGCAGUCUCAGCUAGUGGUUCUUGGUAUUCACAUUUUCUGUUUGGAGGAUACAGCCCACAUCAGUCAAAGCUUGUGAGUGACAGGGAAAUUUGCAUAGGAAACAUUAACCUUCUGUUCAGCUAUAUCUGGUUAAAAAAGGCUCCCCUUCUGAUUGUCAUUCCAAAGGUCCACAGCUUUCUGGGUAGAUAAGGGACUAUAUUUAUUAUCAUUUGCCUUCUCCUGUGACUCAGCAGCAAGCAGGCUGAGGUUCACAAACAAAAGUAAAAUGACAUCAGCAGUUGUCAAAUAGAAAAAGGCAAAGCUGACAAAGGCAUUUUGCUUUAAUGCUUCUAAGCGGAUAUUGCAAAUCACAAGAGUGUACACACAGACACCACACACACAGUGGAAUAGUCAUCAUGAAAUUCUAAAACACUUGCCAGCGUCUACAUCUUUGAGAAGGAAAAGUCAGUGCCUGGCUCAAUAGUAACUUGUAUUUUAAGAUCAGGUGAUCAAAGAUAAGCACAGCCGCUGCAGCAGCAGCAGCUGAGCUAGUGAGCCCUCAAUCUGGGAUGGAGCCACAGGUGGCAGCCAGGCCUGCAGCACUGACUUGUGGCCUCUGUGUUGUAAAAGAUCUCAACAGCCCACGGAGAUGCUGUAGGCAAUGUCAGUCAUGCCAGGCACUUCUUUGCUGUCUCAGCUAUUUUCUGCAUAGCUAGUACUGAGGGAACAGGAACGGAUAAAAGCAGGGUAGCCAUGGAUCUCUUACUGCACUACUCUGCUGAUGAUCACUGAGCUCCUACCAAUGACUGAGCCACCUACAUUCCCACAUUAUCUGCACACAUGUCCACUGAUGUUAAACUUGGAUUGGGGGCCAUAUGCCAAGCUUUUUUGGAACGGCACUAGAAGCACUGUUGAGCAUACUGCCCUGCAGUAUACUGCUACCACAGGGUACAGUCAAAAAAAAUCAGCAAGUUCCUCACCAGUGACUGAUAAGUUUCUCUGUCUCUCUCUUCUUUUUUGUGUGACUUAGAGAAUCUAGAGUCUAAUCCUACCCACAGAUCAGCUUUUUGCUAUAAUCUGGUACCUUGUUUGACAUUUCCUUAUUUAAUCAGCUCACCAAUUAUUUUCCCUUUUACAGAAUGAUGAGUAAAUGAGGGCCACUCAAAGGAGAAUUGAUCAGAGUUUGUUCCUCAAACAGAGCCUAAUCAAACCUUUUCCUCAGGCUCAGUGGAUGUCACUCAGCUGUAAAAGACAGGUGCUCAGAAAUCUCUGUCCUUUUCUCUCCUCUUUCCUCCAAGCUCUAACCAGAAAGAAUAUAGGCCUGAAAUACAGCAAGAGAGACUUUCACUAUGGGCUUAUAUUCCUUGACCUCUUCUUCCUUUUCUGUUGUUCCUAGAUUCCCUUGAUCAGGAGUCUCUUGAUCUUUUGGUUCUGAAAGUCAUCUCACCAAGUUUCAAACAUAUCCAGUCAUUCAUAACUUCUCCCUUCGAGAAAUGUGUCAAGUUCCUUUUGCAUGUUUAUUUCUGAUCCUCUUUGCAGAUAUGUUUAAGAGCUUCCCUACAUUAACAUUCCUACCCUUCACCUUGCUUCAGAAGAUUCCAUUUUCUUUUCAAAAAUAAAUGCCAGAUUUGUUUUUGAUCUCAGGAGUAAAAGUGUCUUUUUACCUCUGUUUUUGCAUAGCUGUGAGUAAGCAUUGUCAGUUUUGAAGCCUCCAGCUCACAGUAUUUUCUGCUUGAACAGAAGUUGAAGCAAAGCCCAAGCAUGUAUUUUUCACCUUAGAUAAUAUGCCAGUUCUCUAAGGGCAAGAGGCUCAACAGGUAAAUUGACAUGGAUUUUACAGAAAUCAGCUAUCUAAGUUACACCAGCUGAGACUCUAGCUGGAGAAAUCAAAAGCAAUCCUCUCUGGAAAGUAAGUACAGUCAUCAGUUGUCUUUAAGUUGCUGCUCCUGUCAGUGCACACUUUCAGCUUGAGGAUGUCAAAGACUGUUUUCCUGUAUCUUCUCCAUAUUUUAUCUGGUCUUCUUUGCACUUCUUGUGUGUAAACUCUCAUCCAGCACUUUCAUUUGUCUUGCACCCUGACUCUCAAACUGGGUGUUGAGGUGAUCUCUAUAUGAAAACUGGCUGACACAUCCUAUGGCUGUCACUGAGCAAGACCGAGUGGCCUCUUUUUCCGCUCAAUUGGUUUUUCAUACUUCGGUGGCUGUCCUGUUCAUUUUUUGGAGGGCCCUCUAUCACUGCUUCAUUGCCUACACAAAAUAGCUUCUGCAGUUGACUAGGCUAAAAGGAUCCACGCCCAUUUCUCUUCCAGGUUGCCUGAUACUCACGCUUUCUUCUUCCCUGAUCGUUUAUCAGUGACUGAAUUAGGUGGUAGGAGAUUGAAAGUCCCAACAAAUAAACAUAAAGUGCUGUCUCCUUGAUUUCAUUACAUCAUCCAUAAUGAACAACAUUCUCCUCUUGUGCAGGUGGAAGGGCGUGCAUCAGUGCUGCUGCCUGGCCAGAGCUUUGUUGGGAAAUGCAGUUUGGCUGAGGGGCCAGGUCCCUGAUCAAGAACAAAAUCAGGAGAGACUUGAGACCUUUGGAGUGCUGUAAUCGUCCUUCAGAAUUGAAGUAUUUUGUCUACCUUCUUGGUUUGCCAGCUCAGUUUUUUUGACAAAAAAUUGAAAAGUUAUGUGGAAAGCAGAAACCUUGAAUGAAAAAUUCACUGCCACUGAAAGCUCCACUCUGUUGCAAAACAGUUUGAUGUAAAAUUUUUUCCAUUGUGUCCAAUUAGGAGAAAUGUAGAGCUUCCUCUCUACUAUGCCAGGGCUCAGAAGGCAAGCUAGCAGUUGUUCUGUAUCUUCAGUAACAAUUAAUGUCUGAUUGGCCUAUGUGUUCAAGAUAUAGGUUUGAGAGGAGAGAAAACAAGGCCUAGUUUGCUGAAAGUCCCCUUGAAUUCUCCUCAGAAAUUUUAAAACUUACCAUUCUUUAGGACAAGGAUGAAGCUUUUUCUUUUUUUUUUGUUUCUUCCUUAGCUGUUUAUGUUGUGUAAAGCCCUAUGUUGUGUUCACCCAAUUUUUUGGAAAGUUUUCAGGCUUAUUUCCAAUUCUGAUGUUGCACAAGGCAUGUGACUUGUUUAUGUGAUAUUUUUCACUGAGAUGUAUUGAAGUAUGCAAAUGCCUUUAAGCUUAUAUGUCUUUAAAUAACAACAACAAAAAAAGUAAUAAUGAGCAGAUAUGCCAUAAAAUAAUAAUAAUCACCAGUCCUGUAACAGGACUUUCUCUCUGUAAGACAGAAAGCUGAAACUGCCAGUUGCUGCAUGGGCAGCCUCCAUGAAACUUUUGUUUCAUCUGACCCUCAGUGUUCAUUUUAAGCCUGAUUUGGCUAUCUGGUUUGGGCAGUUUUAAUUGCACAUGCAUUAAUCCUUCCUUUAGCAGAGUAUGUGCCUUUUAAUCUCCAGGACUUCCAGACUCAGUGGGCACUUUAUCCCUGCACAUCUCCUCUGUUUUGUGCCUGAUUACUGGAAUAUGGACAACAUUUGGUGGAGGUGGCACAUAAACCCUGUGGCUGCUUUCAUCAUUCUGUCAAAGGGAGGGAAAUAAUCAAAGAGCUGCAGCAAGAAAACAAAUGGCCAAAUAGCUGUUGAAGCAGGAGGUUCCAGCUCGCUGGAGCUCAGCUUAUUACAGGCCAUAUGCCUGAGUGUCUCCUCUCACUGAGUGCUGCACCCAGCUAUGGAAACAAGCGUGCAAGCGCCUGUGGUUCGUGAGGUCUGAUUUGCUAUAGCUGUGCAUAACUGCUGAGAACACAGACAGGAAGAACCCGAAGAGGCUGUGGGGCUAAUUGAAGAGAGAAUCCUUUAUGAAAUAAAAAAUUAAAAUACAAAUUCCCAAAAUAUUUAUGUAAAGAUGCUAAUGGGUGAUAAUUUGUUUUCCAAGCUCACAGCAGAUGCUGUUCUUUUAGUACACAGACUAUAUUCAUAAAUGAUGCAGCUUAACAUACGUGGGGAAAAAAAAUGAUAUGCUCUUCUACUUUAAGUAUCAUGGGGUUGAAUUAAUAGUUACUCUUGACAGUUACCACUAUCUCACACCCUUUCAGCUAUGCCCAAUGUUUUCAGGGCUGGCUCUGCCAAAAUUCAUCUCCUGAAUGAUGGGUGUGUUAAAAAAGCUGAAUGACAAAGCUGGAAGGAAACAGGAAGGGUGGAAGUUUUCAACCUAGCGUUUCAUUUCUCUUUGCUCAGCAGAGCUCCUCCCAGGAGCACUGAAGGUGCAGGCCCCAGCCAACUAUUCAUUUGGCUGUUAGGAAAUUGGAAUAAUCUAGCAAAGGCAAGUGACCGUCAACAACCAAGGGACUGCCUUACUGCCCAUCUUGUCUGCAAAGUCCUUUGUUUCUCACAGGACUUAACUGCUUAAGGGCUCAUUCUAGAAGACAUAUUCCUGCUAAAGCAGCUUCAAUAAUUCAGAAAAAGUAUUCCUAGUACAAAAAACGAGACAUGCACAUUUAGUUAUUCAGGAGGAGGUACUCCACUGUAACUUCAUACUCUGCCCUUAAUUCAAAUGUAUUUCCCUCAAGAAGCUGGUAGUUCUUUUCUUACCAUUUCUUCUAUGUUUGUAGCCAAGCUAUACAGAUUCAUGGCCUUUUUCUCCACCAGCCUGGGGUAUGUCAUCUGUAUAGUAAUACUUUAGUAAUACUUCUUUGCGCGCAUAAUUCACAACACUAUACAUAAUUCAGUACAGCUGUGUCAGUAUGCCCACAUUUCUUUAAAAGGAUGAUGACAAGUUCUGUUUCAUUUUAGUUAUGCUCCCCCUCUAUGUGAGAGCCUCCUCUCCUACCUUUGAAACCUUUCACCUUUAUUUUCCAAUUUGGUUGCCUUUUGCGUCCCCUUUUAUAUUGCCCACUUGAAAGCUUUUUUACUUUGGUUGUGUGUCUUGCUUAACUUUCCUAGCAGCACAUCAAGUAAGGAUGUACUUUAUAACUAAAAUGAGCUGUGAUGACAGCUCUGGUCUGUCUCUGUUUUGGUUUGAAAUGCUGUUACAUGAAAUGGUAGGAAGGUGUCUAGACACAGUGCAGGGUAGGCACUGAAUACACAGUUAUCAGACACUACUAAUGCCUCAAUGUGAAUCUCUGUUGUUUGUCCCAACCCCACCCCCCUUCCCCAUGUUAGUUCAGAGGAAAAAAGUAUUGUGUGACAGUGUUUUAACCUGCACAGAAUGGCUUUAACAGCCUUUCUCUUCUUGUAAGAGUAAGCAAAACUAGACAUGGAAAAUCUGUUUCUUAAAAUUUAAAAAACUCAUCUUACCAAUUUUAUUAAAAUUUGCCAUUCUUUGCCUCUGUAUCACAUCAGGGUUCAUUAAUUAUCCUGCUGUCUCUGAACAUGGCUCCAAAGAACAGGGUGACCACUUUUUUUAAUAAAAUUGCAGAUUUACAAUUUUCCAGCUCACUGAAUUGCUAGUGUUUAAAUAUAUUGAGAGGCCAGUGCCAGGCUGCUUCGCCUCCCUGUGCGGCAUUUUACUGAGAAGGGGAUGGUAGAAGGGUGUGUGAGGACAGGAAGAAAAGCUGUAGAGAAGAAAAAACAGGGCAGACAGACAUAAUGCCAGAACAAUACUUCAAAAACAGGAGGUCUUAGGGUGCCUGAAGAGUCCUGCAGGUCAGGGGUGGCCCAGAUCACUUCCUCAGCCCUCCUCUUGCUCCCGGGAGGGAGGAACAAACAAUACUUAGAGGGGACGAAGCAUGUCUCUCCUGUAAGGUGCAGCCCUUUACUCCAACAAUGAGGUGAGGAUCAAGUUGGUCUAUCAUCCUUCAGCCUCUACCUUGCUGGGGGAACAGGAAAACAAGACACAAACUCUGCACUCUGUGUCUCAAAUGCAGCUAGGUUUCACAUUGGUAUGCACAGGUCCAGGAUCUGCUUGGUUGGGAAGGGAAAAGAUGAGCCCACACAGGAUUUUCCUGCUGUUGUCUGAAAAAUAUAUAUUUUUUUCCAUUUGCAUAAUUGUAAGUUCCUCUGGCAAUGGGGAAAACAGGAAGAAAAGGAGUGAGAGACAAGGUAAUGUGACUAUAUAUAGAGAGAGGUGAUCUAAAUAAAAAUAUCAGAAGAAAGAAAGAUGAUGGGAGCUAGUAACAAAGGCAGAGCCAAGGGUUUAUGUCUUUGUACCUAUAGCUUCUGAUCCGGACAUAUAACUAAGCAACCUCUUGUGGUGGCCUUGCUUGAGCAUGACAAACAGCCUUUCUUACAGACACAAAAUAAAAAAAUAUCCAGUUCCUAAAACUCAGCAUUUCUUCUCAGUGUUUGCAGUAACGUUCGGGAUCCCUAGGGCAUGUGGGGACUGCUGGCAUCAGACACUAUCUACUGACAGAGGGAGCAGCACUGCAAUCUCCCACUAGCUGCUUCAGCAGAGACCAGGGAGACCAAGCUAGAGGUGAGAAAAGACUUCAGGUACAUGCAUCGUCUGCUGAGAACAGUGCCAGCUUAGUGCCCUUUUUUAUACAUGGGUGGACUGGUCCAGGCACAUCCUACUUGCCUGGCCAGGAUGCUGGGGGUAGCAGGGCUACACCCAGCACAAGCCCGCUGCUGCAAACUCUCUCCUCCAUUUUGUUAAAAGCCUUGCAGAGACAGAAGAGGCCCAAAGGCCUUUAAAUAUUAGCUUCCUGAUUUCCCUCAUCUCUCUCUUUUUGAAACAACUGCAGUUGUUGCAAGAGCAGCCAGGAGCCUUUCAAGGGACCCACAGAGUCCCAUUUAUGCCUUUGCCAAGCAGUAGGAGGACUGGUUUUGGUGGCAGCUUUUGUCUGGGACUAAGGAGACCAGGGUACACUUCUCUCUUGGGAUACAAAUUCUCUGUAAGAGUUCACUGUGUAAGGCAGAAAUUGUGUCCUCUCACCAUAAAUGACUACAGUGUGCAUCCAAGCUGGUCACUUCUGUCUCCCUUCAGAAGCAAGAAAUGAAGAGAAAUUGACACUUCAAGAGCGCAGUGCAUCAGACCUACUUUACUUCUAACUUAGGAUGAGAUAAAUGUCUGCCAGAGGACACUGCUUCUUUCUGUUGUCUGGAAAGAGAGCCCCAGGGUGGCCACAUUUGUACUGGGUAUCCAUGGCACAGAUGGAUACUUCUAUCUAAAUAAAUUGUGCUUGCAGCCUGCCCUCUGUUUUAGUUUGCUCUGUAUAAAACAAAGGUGGCACAUCCUUUUGCAGAGAUGCUGUGAAACUUAAAUCCUGUAAUGCCUGUGUGGCAUCUACAUGCAGAGGUGACCAAGGCAUGGGAGUGCCUAUCAUACUGUGAACACAAUCAGACUGUCCCAAAGGCUGCCAGGGAGGAUUUCCUCCGUCUGUGACACCUGUAUUCAAUACCGCGUUUGUGAGAAACACAAGGUUUCACCUCCAUGGUCUCAACUACUUCCUGACUUGCUGGUAACACACACAUGUCAUGAAGGAGACAGUUUGCUGCAUCAGGACAAAGGCAGCAGUGAAGUCUCAGCAUGUCCAGAUGCUGAAGGUCCUCAUCAGAAGUCCCAGCCAUACACUGGCAGAAAGUAAAGGUGCUGGGAAGUCAUUGGCAAGGGAGACAGUGGAAAGUGAACCUAAUGAAAAAAUAUUAUUAUUAUUAUUAUUA